GCAAGUUCCAGUUGGAUUGUGCUAAUGCACAUAUUCAUGAAUCUCUCCAAACAGGAUUCACUGCUCUCCAGGGAACCCUUGAAGUAUGCAUCAUUGUUUCAAUGAAGUAUCUUCAUUAUAAAACAUAGAGCCUAUAAAAGAUUCCUUCCAGACAACCUGAGAUUUAGGGAGUUCCCCUAAUGUGCAUGUUACAAAGAGGCCUUUAUUAGAGAGGACAUGAAUGGAGUUCUGAGAAAGACUACAAAAGCCCGACACUGCAAUUGGGUAUAAUGGGGUGCUUUAUAGGGAAGGAACACUGUCUUUUGGGUAUGAAGGACAGUUUAAUACAACAUCUAUUGCAAGGAAACAAAGGAGUUAUGUAGCUCACAAAUUAGGGUAUUCACAUCUAGAUAUACUAGUGAUGGAGUAUAGAGAACUUGGAAUUCAGUGUAAAAUGAUCUUGUCAUCCAACAUAGUACUCAGUGGAAUGUGGCAUUCCUUGGAUGUAAGUUGUGUAGUCAUCAAAAUAGAUUGUACAAAUCACAAAUAACUGUCACUUUGUGACUCUAUAGCAAUUAGCAACCAAAGAUAGUAAUUCUUAGUGGCACUAAAAAUAAGAUGAGACAUCUAUGAUUAAGCAGGAAGUGAAAAAUGCAAUUCAAGACACUAUAUAUUCCGAUUUUCUUAAGUCUCUCACAGAAAAUUAAUAGAGGAUAAUAUUUUUAAGAGGAAUAAGGGGCAUAGCACAUACAACAUGGAGCCAGUGAUUUAUUGUUGAAGUUUAAGUGAUCACUUCGGACAGUCAAAUCUCAAAUCUUUACUGUCUGACAUGCCAUGAAGUGGUGGAGGGAGUGGAAAUUGAACAAAGAUUCAAGAACACAGCAGCAUGCUAUAGGAACUCUUUAUCUAGUGGACAAGCCAGUAGGCAAACUAUAGUAAUAUUCUCCCUCCUUGCUAUUGAAAUUAGCUAGUUCUAUGUUGCUAAAUCGACUGAAUUAUGUUCCAUCCUUGAUUUACUGUGGUGGUUGCUAACACUUGAUACUGUUGACCACACACUCUCAUUCCUUGGCUUUCCUACCUUUCACCUUCAUAAUUUUGUCCCAACUCAUUUUAGCCACUUUUACAUCCUGUUUCUUAGACUCCUUUUCCUCUGCCUACUCAUUAAGUAGAGGUAUUCCUCUAAGUUCUGUCCUCAACCCUUUGCUUGUCCCAUUCUAAACUUUUCUGGCUGGGUGACCUCAGCUAUUCUUGUGGCUUUAAUUAUCUAUCCUCUGAAGCUGACUCUCCAACCCUAGCCCUGAUCUCCCCCUCUGAGCCCACAGUUAAGGAAGCCCACACUUUCCUGAAAACCACCCAGAUACCCCACAAGCACUCUAAAUUCAGUGGGUCCAAAGCUGAAUGCAUGUUAUCUUCCCCCGUCUCCCACAUUGAACCUAUUAUCUUUCUCCUGUGUUUCCUUAUCUUAAAGUGGUAUCAUCACCCAAACUGUUGCUAAAGUCAGAAAGGUAUGAACCAUUCUUUUCUUUCAUGUCUUACUACCAAUCAGUCUCUAAUUCUUAUCCUAAAUCUACAGAUUUAUCUCCAUCUCCAUUACUACUGCCUUGGUUCAAACCACCAUGAUCUAUCAUUAGGAUUGUUGCAAUACCCUUCUAGCAGAUCUGCUUGUCUCUAGUCAUACUUUCUUCAAAUACUAUCUCCUCAGUGUUCUUUCUAAAAUACAGGUCUGGCUACAAAUACAGAGGUAUAAUGUGUUAUUUAGGGUGAAGGAGAAAGCUAAGAAGAUACAUAACAUUAUGCCUAGUAUGAUCUUGUGAAUAUUCAUCUAAUCCAUGAGCAAAUCCUGCUGGGUUAAAUAAUAUUUUCUGCAUGAAUUAUUGCAAUAGUUUCUGAAUGAUCUCAUAUGUUAGCCCUUAUUAUCCUAGAGUCUAUUUUAAGAGAACAGAGAAAUACUGUUGAUACUUAAGUCAGAUUUUGUUGACCAUCUACUCAAAAGCCUCUAGUGCCUUACAUUUCAGUCAAAGUAAAAUCAAACUCAUAAUGGCCUAAAAGGACCUACACGACAAAGCCCCCUGUGGUGACCUAUCUUACUUCAUCCUCUACCAUUCUUCCUCUAGUUCAUCAGACACUCAACACUUAGCAACAUAAAUGAAGAGAAUUGUAUAGGUUAAUGUCAAGGUGAUCCUGGGACCACUUCCAGGCUCUGCAGCUAGCCAUCUGGCUUGGAACUUUAAGCAAAUUAUUUUAUCUCUCUGAGCAUCAGUUUCUUCAUGUGUAAAACUAGAAUAAAAUGCCCAUUUCAAAGGGUUGUCAAUGGUAUGUAACAAGAUAUAUGCCUGCCAUGUAAAGGUGAUGUAAAAUUUUAUUCUUUUUCUUUAUUCAAUCACCUUUAAAACCAAUUCAAUAAGGAGCUCUUACUUUGAACUAAUACACAUUCUUCUUGAAAACAAAGAGUCAUAAUUAAUUUAUAAAGCUAAUGAUUUGUAUUAUAGUCUAAAGUAGGGAUCGGAUUUCAAAAUAAAUCUUUGUAGUUUAUUUUAUCCUCAG
rnacentral:lncRNA from 1 species